CAAGUGCUGAAGGCUUCUUUGCCCUCUCCUGCUUUACCUUUCCCUUUUUCCCAAACAGAGGAUUUCAAGAUCCAUACUGUUAUUUUUCUAUUCUGUUAUAUCAAAGCUCCUUGUGAACCCUUCAUUAUUUCCUUUACAGAGAAUGGUGACGUGACACAAUGGGACAGAGAUUUCAGUACCAUUUGGAUCUGCCUUGGGAUCUCCAGGAGCCAUGGCAUUCCUCCUGUUACAGGCCAGUGCGAAAGUUUUCUUGUAACUUUUUGGCUUUGAGGAGUUUCUAGCAAGGCAGAGCUUGAAAAGUUGCCAUGGUGGAUUUUUAUUUUAUCCCAUGUGAGGAAAAUUGGAAAGACGUGAAG
rnacentral:lncRNA from 1 species